CAAGGGGUUUAAAAUCCGGCUCGGCCACGGCGCGCACGGGCUCCGACUCUGUCCCCGAUGCAGCACAACAACCCCGACGCGCAGGAGCUCCAUCCCCGGUGGGCGUGAGCUCUAGCCGCCGCCGUGAGGCACCGUCUCCUCUGCCCGCGCCAUUGUCGUGGUAGAAGGAGUGGGUGGCCAUAGGUGGGACAGUCUGGAAUGACUAUGAUGUGGACCUGGGAGCCCUGGCGUUUCCGAUCACUCUUAUAUUGCCUUUAAAUUUGGUCCCGGUUUGAGAUACGCCAGUCAGUCCAGGCGAUUAAUAGAAAAUAAAGGGUCCGGUUGGGCCAAUUUUUUAUCGGACAAUAACCAGACUGAGCAGACGUUUCGAACGUUUAGGGAUGAAACAGGGGUCCGGCUGUAGUUCUCUUAUCUACUGCAGCUUCUAGGUCCUUCGGAUCACUUCCCCUGUUAAAGAAACCUUGUGUGUCACUUAGUGUGGGUAUGGGUGUUAUGGAGGAGAGGUCGCAUGUGGGUGGGUAUCGGUGGAAAUAAACAACUGGACCAGGAGAGAUGAGGUAGUGAUGCGUGGACCCCUAGUGGACGCGUGUGCAUCUCAUGCAAGGCGGCUAGAGGCAUUUACAAUGUGCUGGAUUAGAAUCAAUUCUCCAUCACCAUCCAGAGACUUGAAAACAAACAGCACAACGCUUUCCUUUUUUCCCUCAAAAAACAGCGGCAGAGCGCAGCCCCCUUCUCCCCCCGAUCCAAUCGCGCCCGAGCGCCUUCCUCGCGCCCUCGUCGAGGAAGCAGGAAGCCUCACAAGCACCCCUCUCCCGCAGCUCGAACCCGAGUGGGUCGAGCCAGUCACCCCCGCCGGUGAUCUGCAGCAACAGCAGCAGGACCCACCGGAGAACUCAGAACAACAACAAUGGCGAUGCCACUAUAGAGCUCUGAACUGCCGCCGUCACGCCCGCAUCAAGUUCGCCGGAAUCUGUGCACCGACACCCGGCGCAGCGACCCAGCAUGCCCGCGUCACAACAGGAGCAGGAGCAUCUCCGGCAAGUGGCCUCGACCGCCUCCUUCUAUUCCUGCUCGCGCCCAGCGCCUCGUCCAAGCGCGGACCACCAGCGCCUCGCCCUUUGCUGUCAUCCCGAUUUGGCCCGCCCCUUCAUCCUCGUUGGUGAGCGGCAAGCAGGCCACGAGAGAGGGGGCGACGAGGAAGGGGUUUGUACCGAAGCUGGUGACGUGGGAGUGAAGGUCGCAUGGCUGGCGGUGGCGGCUGCCGCCAGGAGGUGGCCGUGGCGGCGGCGGAGGCUGGAGGACGCGAGCCUCGUCGCGGCCGCUCGCAGGGCCAUGCCCUUCCUUCCUUGGCAGCGCGAAAUGGGGGGAGAAGGGGAGCACGGGAGCGUCCCCCUCCCCGGCGCUCCUUCUUCUCCUCCGCGACUCACCGCCGCCGUGGGGCCUCCUGCCGCCGCCCCCCUCACGACACGGGAGCAGCAACUCUGCCGCCGCUGUUGGAAUUUAUAUGUCGUGGAAGAAGAUGUAUAGUUUCCUUGUGCGUGCAAUCCAAAUAACACAGCGUUUGUCA